CACCAGGGUUUCCUGCUACUGCAACUGCUGGUCAGCAAUAAAACACUCACCGUUUGAGAGAGCCAGCAAGCCUGGAAAUGCUGUAUCAUCUAACCCUUCCCAGAACAAGGCUGCGUAACACAGCACCUAAAAACUCUCCUGCCUAGCAAAUGCUCGUACUGGUGCCCUCAUCUGCUAUAAGUCCUCAGCUAGGUGGAAAAGCAGCAGCAAAAGAGUGGAAUUUCUGCAAAGUUCAGGUAACGGAGACUGGGCCAGAGGCAAGAAGAGAGGCCAGCCUGCUUUUCAGGUCUCACGUGUGACAUGAACGGCCUUAACUCUGCAGUUAACUCUAUCUGUUUGGCAAGCUCCUCCAGGAAAAACUAGGGAAUUAAAAAAAAAAAAUCAUCCUUUAAGAUAACGCAGGAUGUGUAACCGGCGUAUCCAAACCUCACUGCACGAAGCACACUGCCGUCUCAUGACCCCGGUCAAGCGCUCCGCUGACCAAGUGACUCCCGUUGGCUCAGUUGCCAUGACCAGGGAAAUCAGGAAAGUGCCAUCCCUAGCGGAGCGGUUGGGGAGACCUGGAAAACGCCGCGUUUUUGCGGCACGGUGCGCAGAAGGCGCCUAAACCCCCCGAAGAGACAACUCCGCCCGGCCGGACAGCAGGUUAGUCUGUUACUUGCUGUGUGGUCAGAAAGGACAUGUCCACUGGUAACUUUUGGAGAGUUACCAGAAACAAGAUUGUUGCAGUAACAAGGAAAAUUGCACCUGUACAUAAUUAGAAAAAGUAUGAACUGAAACUUUCCUCAUCAUUGAAUCAAGUUUCACUCCAGGACUGAUGAACAGGCAGUGAGUGGAAAAGCAGCCGUACCAGGACUAUCCGACUCCGCUUCGGAGACAGAGACCGGGUAGGAAAAAAAGCCUCUGUACAGCACGAUCCUCCUGCUGUUGUAUCUUCCCAGCCUCCAGCAUGUAAAGACUGAAGUACCUGUCAAUUAGCCUGUCAGGCUCAUUUUAGCAAUGAUGCCAACUGCUCCAUGGCAAGCGGUUGGCUGCCUCCAAGUCUCGGAAGGACACGUGCUACCUUUGCUCCUGAAAGGAUGCUGUGAACGCAAGGCAAGGUGAGGGUGUCCAAACUGCCAGCCUGCUGGUCCUGCCCUGGCCAAAGUGCCAUCCCCGCUGAGGAGUGGAGGGGACAGACCUGGGCUGGUGGGUGCUCCCCGAAGGGAGGCACGCAGGGUGCUGUGUGCGUGGGCGUUGCGCUUCCAGCCUCAGCGUGCCGGGCGUGGGAGCAGCUCGGCGUGGGCACAGGAAUCUGCGAGCUGCCUUGCUCCUGCCUCCAGAUCCCCUCUUCGCUUCCACUCCUCGUGAUCAGAUUAUCAGCGACAUGGGAAGGAAACGCUCAGUUGCGUGCACCCGCUGCAUGAGUACGGUACUGCUGCGUGAGUCCAACGUCACUCAAGAGAUGUUAGUCUCCCUAGGGAAACCGAGGCAGUGGGGUGGCAACGAAGUGGCCCCAAGUCCCAGACAACCCAUAACACGUCCCAGACAACCCAGUAACUGUGGCUGCAAUGUGCACUGCCAGCCAGACACCCUUCAUUGUGUUUUGACGAAGUGCUGGCCGACCAGACGUACGUUCCUGUUCUCCCUCAUGGUCAUACGCCCGCGUCCCUCAGCAUCUGGCAGAGGAGCUGUCCUGUAUCAGCGUUACCCGCGUGCUGCUUGGCCUCUGAGUUUAGCCUCACCAUGGGCAGAAACAGGAGAUAUAGCAAGGAGCAGGCCCAGAAGGGAAAUGAAAGCACUUAGAAGAGUAAAGCCCAUUGCAUUCAAUAUUUUAUCAGGCUUCCACUUCCCUUCUUUAAUGUAAUAUUAGGAGAUGGGAAGCAUUGUUUAACAUUUAUGCAGAAAGGACUCUACAUGUGUGGAUACCAAAGGGAAAGAAAAGUCACCCACAAGCCGUGGAGGGACUGGCAGAUGUGAGCAGAAACGAACCAAGGAAAAGCAAAAACUCCCUCAAAGUAUUGUGUUUCUCUUGCCGUUGCUUAUUUUACUGAAGAGGAGUUUGAAGUUCUCCAUUUCCUGGGUGUGUUACAGGAGCAGCAGAGUCCAGACACAUGCUUUUAAUGAAGCUUAUGUAAAUUUGUGUAUGUUUAUAUUUAGCAAAACAGAUUUAGGAGCACUAAUAAAGCAGCAGGCGAGGCGUAGAAAAGAGCUGGUGCAGAGUUUUCUGCCACUGUUAUUUUUUAGCUUCCUCCCACCAUUCCCAAAGACAAGAGUCUGUUUCGCUUGCCAGUUUCCCUUCAAAACAAAUGAUUUUGAAAACUCUUUUAUUGCUAAAUGCUGCUGAGACAAAUCACAGAGUUGUAGCUCUAUUGCACCAUGUCCCCAUUCUUUUUCUGUGAGCAAGCAGGGGCAAUUCGGUGCAUAUUUAGUUUCCUUUAACAUAGACACUCACAUUUGGUCAGCUAAAAAUUUCGCGACUCCACCAACAAACCUCGGUUCAGUAAGUUGGGAGCUUUGAGACAGGCCGAAGAAAGGACAGGCUUGCAGGGUGGAUGAUGAGGGCACAGGACAUGCCUCAGCCCAGGGAAAGCAGACGGAGGAGGAUGUUGAACCUGGCAUGGCCUGCUGAUGGAUGGUGACUGGUCCUGUGCUUGCAGCUGCAGUGCAGGAGCAGGGGCCAGUGGCCAAGCGCGGUGACCAUCAUCCCUUCUGGAGCCCUGCCCAUCCCUGAAAAAGCAGCAGGGUCUAUGUCUGAAGUCCACGAUGGAAGAAUAUGUAGAAAGGCAGGAAAAUUCAUGGGUGCCAGGAGAGAACAAGGAGUGUGGCUGGCCUCUAGGUCCUCUCCUAUCACAUGGGAAAGCUGGCUGAUUAAGCAUGGUCAUUAACCCAAAACCAUUGCCUCCUGUCCAUUAGGAUACGAUUGCAAUCCAGAGGUAUGGUGCUGAGAGGUGUAUUGAUUUACAGAGCGAGUGUGCUUGGACUGGGAUUGAUGAAGGAGGAAAGAAGUGAGACCCUACACCCUGCAUGGACCUGUGUGGGGUUGAGUCCCACCUGCAUCCCAGAAACACCAUCAGAAAGGUGAGCGGGGCAUCGUGGCGAUGGAGGGUUUCUACCCUGCCUUUUAUCUGCACCAGUCAAGGCCUCCACAGCUACAUUUGGCUCUGCUUAGACAUCUCCUACAGUUGACAGAUGGGGAAAGCCAAAGAACAGAUAUAAGCUACUCAGCAAGUCAUCGGCAGAAGAUGCUUGAGAACCCCAUCUCUCCAGACACCCUGUCCCACCUUCUUUAAAAUAUUUCCUAUUCACCCCAGUCGUGUUUUUAUUAAAAAGAGAGCCAGAUUUAGGGCUGGUCACCAUUCUGCAUUGAUGCGGCGGUCACCCUAGAUGCACCUCAGAUGUCCCCACAAUCUGUUGAGCGUGGGGUGGCGAGUCCCAGUGAGUCCGGCGUGGGACUGUGCUGGCAAUGUGCCUGAGACAGCGCGAUCGUCUCAGGCUAUUCCCUGUUGGAUCUGCAUCACGGAGCCAUCGAGCCCUCUCGGUGGCACCACCGGGACAGGGUUUCCAAGGAGGGAAAGGUGGUCCCAGGAGGGGCAAGACCUCUGGGUGAUAGCAGUGAAGGGGAUGGCGAGGGGAGAGGCUGGUGGGCCAUGUCCCCCCACCCCGGUGGCUCCCACAUCCUUGCCCCCAGAUGCGAAGCAGGCAUCAUCUCCUGCUGCAUCCCACUAUAGGCUUUGCUAUGGAGAAGGAAUGGAGACUACAGAUAUUUUGAGCAAACCUUUCCUUAUCAGAAAAGACCAGAAGUCCUUCGUACACAUGGGGGGAUUCAUGCUGAACACAGCUACCAGGUUUGAGAUGGGACAUCCCCCUCUCCCCCCACAAAUAUCCCUCCCUCAAAAAAAAAAAAAAAAGAAACAAAGCAAUACAGUUCAGCUGGACAUAACAAAAGAGCAACAGCAAACUAUUUUCUGUCUGCAUCUUACAUCAUUGCAAGGCCAAAUUCCUGCCAAACAGAUAGAUAGCCAACAGAUGGGGGUCUAACUUAACUUCUUGUCUGCAUGAUUUAGGAGGCUGCGGACACACUGCGUGAGAAAAACACAGCCACUUUCCUUGAACUCAGUCUAAACUAGCCACAAGGUCUCAAGUUUUCCUCAAGGAUCCCAUUCCUACCACACAAAGAGAGUCCUGAAAAAUCAUGAAAAAAGACCUAUAUAUUGGCAAGCACACAUGGUUUUUUUUUUUCAGGCACCUACCAUCUGUUUUACCAACAUCCCCUUUAAUGCAGGGAAAAGGCUCGCAGAAGGUCUGUGUUAGUAAAUCACCAGUGUGAAGCUGAGCAUUAUAUCCAGAUUUUGGCUGUAAGGUUCUGACACAAGGAGCGAGGAAAUGUGAUACCCCAAGAUCCAUUAAUUAGGCAGGCAUGCCGAUCAGGGAGUUCUGUUCCUGGCAUAGCUUUGCAUCCCGCCAUAGCUGUUGGCUGCACCUGAGACUAUCUCCUCUCAGCGAGGACGUCAGAGGCCCAGCUCAGUGCUACAGAAGUGGCCCGUUAAUGGCUGUAGCUGGUCACCUCCACUUUGCCUCUGUUUGCAUCCAGCUCAUUUGGAGCAGCCCAUGGUCCAGCUGGAUCAGUCACUCUGAUGGGGCUGUGUGACAUGCAGAAACCCUAGAAAAACAGCCACAAGCAACUUCACCGCGUCUGCCAUGCCACGAACACGUUGGAUUCAUGGUAUUUGAAGGCAUCCCAUUGGAUUCAUGGUAUUUGAAGGCAUCCCAAUUCCCGAUCAGUGUUUUCCUGGGGAGAAAGGGACAGCCCAAAAGAGCCAUUUGGGUGGGCAUCUGGAAGGCAGGCCUUGGACACUGGAGGCUUCUCGCUUAGUCAAAAAUGUCUUUGGAAGAAGUUGGCUUUUCCAAACCACUGGCGUUCAGAUGUAUUCUCACAUGCCUCAGUGAUCCCAUUGCACGUGGUGGCACAGGGGUAGGAAACCAGAAACCUCUCAUGACUGACAGAUUCACAGCAUUUUGGCUAAAUGCUGAACCUCACUUGAAUUUUCAGCUGCAGCUUCUUUUCUCUUCAACACGAAGUGAAUCGAAAUAUUCCCAAUUUAAGGUGCUGGAAAAGAACUGCUCAUUCCAGAUAACAGCAGUACUGCUUUAGGAGGUUUAGUCACGUGAAAAAAAAAAAGACCACAGCCAAAGACCAACUGAAAAGCUGGAAACACAGCCUGAACCAGCCUGCCUGAGAGCUGCAUCUGCCCCCUUCCUUAGUGUUUGGCACCUCCAACCCAAGGAAGCUGGGCAUUACGACCACAGACCAGACGCACAAAGUUAAUGCUACAUAAAAGAUGUAAGACAGCAAGAGAUAAGCCAGGCUGAAGCUCUCCCUGUAGAUAUUUCACCCGAGCUUUUGCAAAAUUACAAGCAUGAGCAGGCGUUAUCUGGGACAACGUGUGAUUAGCAGUAAGAAAAGGCAAGAGGGACUCAGCACAGCCGGCAGCUACGGCUGGUCUCGCAGCGGCUCAGGGCUAACCUUGUGCCUGCCAAAUUAGAGGGGCUGCUUCAGAAAGGCACCCUGCAAAAACACCCUGGUAGCUCCAGAGUCACAGGGGAUGCUGUUGAGAAAAGAGACAUUUUCCUGCUCUUCUGUCACUCAUCAGCCUCUGGACAAGUUGAUUAGCUUAGUAAUUGCUGGCCAGGCAUCAAUGUGAUGCUCGUUUACCAACAUACACCUCUGCAGCUGAUGGCUAGAUAAAACCCUGCCUGGUGUCCUUUGCUAGCCGGUUGUGCUGGUUGAGAAGGGAAGGAGCUGGGGGAACUGCGGAGUGCAUGGACCAGAGGAUGGUAUGUAUGAUUGCAUCCGGCUCCUAGCAUGUUGGCGAGACCUGCUAAUCCAAGUUUACAUUUUAAACAGAGAAUAGGAACUUCCAGGCAAGAGGAUUUAUAUGCAAGGACUUAACAGUUAAAUUUAUUCAUGGCUAAACUGAGGAGCCGGGAGUUAUUAAGGCAUGAAAUUGUGCCAGUCAAUUAAAGUGUCAAUCACAGCCAGCCUCAUUUAGAAUAGCUGCUUUAAUCCCAAGAAAGGAACAUUUUUUUGGCCUAGUGAGAGAGCACAUUGACUUGAAGCUGGUUUUAGUGAAAUAGCUGUUCCUCGGUUACUGUUCAAAGAUUUGCCAACUUUCUUUUUUUUUCCUGCCACGCUCCUGCUAUCAUUCCAAGGUGACAUGUGCUAGGCUCAAGUAGAGACAGAUGGAAUUUGAGCUGGAGAUGGGGUAACCUUAGUGGGCUACACAGCAAACAGGAAAAAAAAUCAUACGAAAACUAAUCAAAGAGGCAUUUAAACUGGCAAAUAUCAGGGCUUUGGGAUGCCUUUUGCUUUUAAGCAUAUAACAGGUUCUUAUUUUUCUUAAACUCAGCAAUUAGAUUAUUCUGCUUGUCAGUACAUGCAACAUGUGUUUAUUUUAUUUGCUCUUAAAACCUGCUUUUUUUCUCUCUCUCUCUCUUGGCUUAAAUCCCAGACUGUUGACUGCAUUAGUGAUAUGUUUUAGCGAAUGAUGACUGUCCUUUGGCCCUAAGUAAAGUACAGCUAAAUAGAGCAAGUCACAUACCUGAUUGUAAUGAAUGUUUGGUUAGGAGAAAUAUCUCCCAGGGGUAAUUUACUUCGGAGAUGAAUCUGGGCCUAGGUACUCAAUAUGAUCUCUUAUUCCCUGUCCACCAAAGCUCAUGACAGAGACAAAAAACAGUCUUGGGGUAGAGGGGCAACAGGAGCUCAGGGAGCCAACUGACAUGGCCAAGCUUGUGCUGUCAGUCAUGGAGCCUGAUAGGGAGCCCAGGUGUCCUUCCAAUUUGUACACUUCAUUCCUAUUGGUGGCAAGUAGCAGGUAUUUUACUCAAGCUGGAAGUAUUUUAGAGGUGGAGGCUGCUUUGGAAGCUGUUUCCAGUAACGAAGCAAUGGGAUUAGAGUCAGCAAGGUUGGUGGGAAGGAAGAGGUGGUGGCUGACCUUCCAUUUGUGCUCCCAUUUGCUUAAUUUCAUAGCAUACAUAGGACGUUAAGACCUUUCCUGGAGGUGCUUUGUGCAGGGAGGAAGACGGUUUCCUGGUCUCCCACAGGACGCGUGCAGCAAGCUUUUCUCCUCCGGGAUCUUUCCUGUGCUGGGUGCAUGCAGGUGCUGAUGCCACACUGCAGGACACACAACAUGCAUGUGCGCACCCACAGAGACUCUCAGGGGCCGGUUAUUAAAACAUCACUGACUGCAGGACAGCCCUCACGUUGUUCUGGAUCCUCUGAAGAUCACAGAAAUUGUGUGUGUGUAUUUAAGAAUAUAUAAAUAUACAUAUGUGUACCCGAA